GUGGGGUGUGGGCCAGGUCCCAGGAGCAGGGCCUGGGCAACCCCUUAUGCUGAGGAGGAAGGCAGGGCCCUUGCUCCCUAGGCUUGACCCCAC
rnacentral:pre_miRNA from 1 species